AGAUGUGAGGGCGAUCUGGCUGUAACAUCUGUCACCCCACUGAUGGCCAGGGUUGAUCUGGCUGAUCUGGCUGGCUAGGCAGGUGUCCCCUUCCUCCCUCAUUGCUGUCUGUGUGUCCCUCCCAAAGCUGCAUGCUCAGUUGCGGAGAAUGAUCUUCCCUGAUAAAGGAAGAUCGUUCUUGGGUCAAGGGUAUAUGAGUAGCUAUGAUCCCCUGCUAGAACCUCCAAACAAGCUCUCAUUAGUCAUCUUCCUGUAAAUUAUCUUUUUGGCGAUACAUAUUCUGUAUUUAU
rnacentral:snRNA from 1 species